CCCCUAGAUGCUCUGGGCCGCACGCGCGCUACACUGAACAGUUCAACAAGUCUUAACCUUGGCCGAUAGGUCUGGGUAAUCUUUGAACGCUGUUCGUGAUUGGGAUAGACCUUUGCAAUUAUGGGUCUUCAACGAGGAAUUCCUAGUAAACGCAAGUCAUCAGCUUGCAUUGAUUACGUCCCUGCCCUUUGUACACACCGCCCGUCGCACCUACCGAUUGAAUGGUCCGGUGAAAUCUCGGGACGGCGGCUUGGUCGCUUGCGUCCGACUGCUGAAACUUGAUUAAACCAUAUCAUUUAGAGGAAGGUGAANUCGUAACA
rnacentral:rRNA from 1 species